rnacentral:rRNA from 1 species
UACGGGGGGGGGCAAGCGUUGUUCGGAAUUACUGGGCGUAAAGGGCUCGUAGGCGGCCGACUAAGUCAGACGUGAAAUCCCUCGGCUUAACCGGGGAACUGCGUCUGAUACUGGACGGCUUGAGUUCGGGAGAGGGAUGCGGAAUUCCAGGUGUAGCGGUGAAAUGCGUAGAUAUCUGGAGGAACACCGGUGGCGAAGGCGGCAUCCUGGACCGACACUGACGCUGAUGAGCGAAAGCCAGGGGAGCAAACGGG